rnacentral:rRNA from 1 species
CACGUGACUAACCUACCCUUGAGUGGGGAAUAACCUGGAGAAAUCUAGGCUAAUACCGCAUAACACCUACGGGUCAAAGGAGCAAUUCGCUUAAGGAGGGGGUCGCGGCAGAUUAGCUAGUUGGCGGGGUAAUGGCCCACCAAGGCGGUGAUCUGUAUCCGGCCUGAGAGGGCGCACGGACACACUGGAACUGAAACACGGUCCAGACUCCUACGGGAGGCAGCAGUGGGGAAUUUUGCGCAAUGGGGGAAACCCUGACGCAGCAACGCCGCGUGGAGGAUGAAGUCCCUUGGGACGUAA